UCCAGGGUAACAGAAAGUCAUGCUGUGAAAACAAGAGGAAGAUAGAACUACCGAAGAGCAGACAUAACCUGGAUAGAAGGAUGAUGGAAACUUGGAGGUGUACAUGUUAAUCUGCUCACCAUUGGAGGUCUGUACACUGCAGUUAGUGGUCAUAUCAACAGACUGAGAGUGAGACAAAAGCAAUCCACUUCUCCAUUUAUUUAAAAAUAGAACGUUUGCACAGAUUCCAUAUUCUCUGAGGAUAAAGAUUUUUUUAAAGGGGCCCAUUAAAAACUACAGAACAAGAGAAAGAAUGAUUCACAAGUACAGAAUUCUUCUGAGAAUAAUUUAAUUUAUAAGCUAAACAAAAUUUAUUUUAUUUUUUUUAGCCUUGAGAUACAUAUGCUGGAUGUACAGGUUUGUUUCAUAGAUAAACAUGUGCUAUCGUGGUUUGCUGCACCUGUCAAGCCAUCAGCUAGGUCUGUUAAGAAGCAGAAGCCAAAACAGGAAAUCAGAAAUUUGACAGCUUUCUUGAAGGAAAUGCCUGCUAAUCAUAAAGGGGAAUGGAGCAGUGGUAGGCAGUGAGAGGCUUCAGGAAAUGGCACAGAUCUGACACUAGUGAAACAAAAGGGAAAGGAAGGCUUGAGAAUCUUCUCAGAUUUCCACACAGCACUGUCUCAGUUGGGCCAAAAGGAAUCCUUAAGCUACUCAGCCAAAAUGGUCCAGGUACUACCACCGCUGUGCCCAAUCAUUAGCUAGCAGAAACCUGAGGAAGCAUGGCUUUCACAUUUGUAUCUGGGUGGAGCCAGGGGUGUGGCAAUGGGACUCUCAAUCAUUUAUGCUCCUUAGAGCAUUUCCUCUUAAAGGGUAACUGAGAGACACACCUCUCUGGCCACACUUUUAAUUAAGUUCUAUCAUCCUCUUAGAUGUGUACAGCUCAAUCUAUCUACAUCACUGUCUUUUUCCCUUGCCUACCAUCUGACUGAGAGACAUGCCUGGUCUUUCUAGUGAAAGAAGGAAAUAAGUGUCACACUGUUCAAGGGAAAUCCCCCGCAUAUUCCAAAAAAAGAGGUGGCUUUA
rnacentral:lncRNA from 1 species